AAAUUCAAAUAAUUCCCAACCUCUCCCCCCCAAAUCACAGACAUCAGCGUCUGGACAGAACACAGAUACAUAGCAGGAGCGGUGGUAUCUAGGUCUUCAUCCAUGGCAUUACAGCACAAGGAAGAAGAACAAGCGGAAGAAGAACACAAACAGCGGCAUCACCGCCACCAAGUGCUCCAAGAAGACAACAAUAUCGAUACCAGGGGUGGCACUCCCAUACGCUACCUCCCUCUCUGCCACGUUUACUCCGCCACCUCUCCCUGCGUUAGUGCCAGUGGUUCCUCCAACGUCAUGUCCAAGAAGGUUAAGGCUCGAAAGCUAGUCAUCGUCGAUCCUUUGGAUGGUCCUGAUCAGAAGCCACCUUUGCCACCGCCACCUCCGCCGUCGCCAGUCCAGCAGCCGCCUCUCACCGCCGUCUAUUCCCGCCGCCACAAGAGGACCCACCAUUCCUCGGAAGGAAAGUGUCCCGCAUUCUUUGAUUCCUUGAUGAAACGCCCUGAAUUGCCACAACCAGCGAAGUCCGAGAACUUGGAGUUGUCUGACGGGGAUAAUUGCGAGAAGGGUUGUGUAGAACCGGAUGAUGUCGUAGUUGAAUCGAACAAGGUCGAGAGGGUGUUGAAGAAGAAGAGGAGGAGGAUUGGGAAUUCUGAGCUAGUGAAAUUAGGGGUAGAUUCGAGCACACUGCACAGGCUUGACAGGCCUCGAUUAAGAGAAAGCAGAAACCACAGCACAAGCAGUGUUUCCCGAAUGAGAGAUCGCCCGCCUUCUACUGAUUUCCCAAAGACCUCUUUUUCAGGCUCCGAUAGCACGAAGAGAUGGACGAGGUUGGAUUGUGAAGGUGUUGAUCCCAAAACAUUUGUUGGAUUACAAUGCAAGGUUUACUGGCCAUUGGAUGAUGAUUGGUAUGCUGGUCGUGUUAUCGGGUAUAACUUGGAGACUAACAGACAUCAUGUUGAAUAUGAAGACGGCGACGCAGAAGAUUUGAUUAUUUUGAAUGAGAAAAUUAAGUUUUAUGUUUCUCGUCUGGAUAUGCAGCAUUUGAAGCUGCGUUGUGGUACAAAUAGCACAGACAAUGAUGAGCUUGAUUAUAGUGAGAUGGUUGUGUUGGCUGCAAGUUUGGAUGACUGUCAGGAGCUUGAGCCCGGGGAUAUUAUAUGGGCCAAAAUAACUGGUCAUGCUAUGUGGCCAGCCAUUGUUGUGGAUGAAUCGCUCAUGGGUACUCGGAAAGUUCCAAAUAGAAUGUUAGGAGGGAAAUCUGUUCCUGUGCAAUUUUUUGGCACCCAUGAUUUUGCAAGGGUUACAAAUAAACAGGCAAUAUCAUUUCUUAGAGGACUUCUCUCUUCUUUCCACCUGAAGUGCAAGAAACCACGUUUCCUUCGAAGUUUGGAAGAAGCAAAAACGUAUCUCAGUGAACAAAAGCUUCCCGGAAGAAUGCUGCAAUUGCAAAAUGGGACUGAAGAUGAUGAUUGUGAAAGUGCUAGUGAGGAUGAAGGAAGUAUUCAUUCUCAUGAAGAGGGAGAUGAUGAGAUACAUAGAUCACUAGAAGGUCUUAGAACUUUCCCAUUUCAAAUCGGGGAUUUGGAAGUAAAAAGCCUUGGUAAAAUUGUUAAGGACUCGGAGUAUUUCCAAGAUGGGCAAUUUAUCUGGCCUGAAGGAUAUACUGCUGUGAGAAAGUUCACAUCAGCAACAGAUCCAAGUGCGUGUGCAUUAUAUAAGAUGGAAGUGUUGAGAGAUGCUGAAUCAAAGUUUCGACCUCUAUUUAGAGUGACGUUGGAUAAUGGAGUGCAGUUUGAAGGAUCCACUCCAUCUGGUUGUUGGACUAAAAUUUACAGAAAGAUUAAGAAGAUGCAGAAUUCUUCUUCUGAUGGUGCUACUGCUGGAAAUGGGGCAGCAAGGAUUUUGGAAUCUGGUUCAGAUAUGUUUGGUUUUUCCAAUCCUGAAGUUUUAAAACUCAUACAGGAGUUGUCACACUCCAGACUGACUUCAAAAUUCUCUGUUUCUAAGUCAACUUCUGGAAAAUAUCGAGACCUUCUUGUUAAUUACAGACCUGUUCGUGUUGACUGGAAAGACCUUGAUAAGUGCAGUGUUUGCCACAUGGAUGAGGAGUAUGAGAAUAAUCUGUUUCUGCAGUGCGAUAAGUGCAGAAUGAUGGUCCAUGCUAGAUGCUAUGGGGAGUUAGAGCCUGUUGAUGGAGUACUAUGGUUAUGCAAUUUAUGCCGCCCAGGGGCUCCAGACUCUACACCACCAUGCUGCCUUUGCCCAGUUAUAGGAGGUGCUAUGAAGCCCACAACUGACGGGCGAUGGGCUCAUCUAGCUUGUGCCAUAUGGGUACCUGAAACUUGCUUAUCUGAUAUCAAGAAGAUGGAGCCUAUUGAUGGGUUAAGUAGGAUAAAUAAGGACCGCUGGAAGCUUUUAUGUAGCAUUUGUGGGGUUCCUUAUGGGGCUUGCAUACAAUGUUCAAACAGUACUUGUCGUGUUGCGUAUCAUCCACUCUGUGCACGUGCUGCCGGCCUUUGUGUUGAGCUUGAAGAUGAGGAUAGACUCCAUCUCAUUUCUGUAGAUGAUGAUGACGAGGAUCAAUGCAUUCGCUUACUUUCCUUUUGUAAGAAGCAUAGGCAGCCCUCCAAUGAGCGCUCAGUCGCCGAUGAACGGAUUGGACUAACUGCCCGUCAAUGUUCAAACUACACCCCUCCAUCGAAUCCAUCUGGCUGUGCUCGUACUGAGCCCUACAAUUAUUUUGGGAGAAGAGGACGCAAAGAACCUGAAGCCCUCGCAGCUGCAUCAUUGAAGCGCUUAUUUGUUGAGAACAGGCCAUAUUUAGUUAGUGGUUAUUGCCAACAUGAAUGCUUGGGCAGCCCUCUUUCCACCAAUGCAGUUAAAGGCUCUAGAUUCCCCUUUAGGCUUCCAAAGUUGAAAGCCUCUGAGCUUGAUGCUCCUAAAAACAUUCUUUCUGUGGCUGAAAAAUAUACACACAUGAGAAAGACUUUCAGAAAAAGACUAGCAUUUGGAAAAUCAGGAAUACAUGGAUUUGGCAUAUUUGCGAAGCAUCCACAUAAAGCAGGUGACAUGGUAAUUGAAUAUGCGGGCGAACUUGUUAGACCCCCAAUAGCUGACAGGAGAGAACACUUCAUAUACAAUUCAUUAGUGGGUGCUGGGACAUACAUGUUUCGAAUUGAUGAUGAACGUGUCAUUGAUGCCACGAGAGCAGGAAGCAUUGCUCAUUUGAUUAAUCACUCCUGUGAACCAAAUUGCUAUUCCAGAGUUAUAAGUGUUAAUGGUGAUGAGCAUAUAAUUAUAUUUGCAAAACGAGAUAUUAAACAAUGGGAAGAAUUGACAUAUGACUACAGAUUUUUUUCAAUUGAUGAACAACUGGCUUGUUAUUGUGGCUUCCCGAGAUGUCGGGGUGUAGUUAAUGACAUUGAAGCAGAGGAACGAGCAGCAAAGCUAUAUGCACCUCGCAGUGAAUUGAUAGACUGGAGGGGAGAAUGAGGGGAAGUUUCUCAGCAUCACUAUAUGCCAGUGUGAGAUCCGUCUCUAUAAAGAUGGAUCAAUCCCUCCCAAUCUGCUUACUGUGGCCUGCCGUUUUGUCAAAGGCAGAUAGGAUAUUGUUGGUAUAUGAGAUCCACAAGAAAGUUCAAGUGUUCAAGGCUCCAACCUUUCCUCGUAUGCUUUGAUUAUGUGAGAAUAUGCAUAACGAUGGGGGCUGGUGGUGUGGAUUCCCUGAUCUAUUCUAUAAUACACAGAAAGUAUGUGGAGUCAUCGGCUAGAUCGCAGCUUAAUUGAAAUUCAGUUCUCAAAGUUAAUUAGGGGUUUUUUAGUUCGACCAUACAGCGGUUUCAAACUGUUACAAGCCAAAUAAAACAAUAGACAAGAUAAUAAUAUAAGGUGGGUUUUUGACCCCCUUGGCCCGCCCUUGCUGCCUUCAGCUUCAGCAUCAGCUUCAGCGAAUGUAUAAUCACAAAACUGGAAACUGUAUGCUGUUUAUUCACCGACUGCUUCACUGUUUCUGGCGCUAAUUGUAAUAAUAUUUUUUAUUAGUUAAUUAAUUUAUUUAUAAAUCAUUCUUAUUGCUAACUGCCUUUGGCUUUGUAGUUUUACUAGUACUGAGCUGAAUGCCAUGAGCUAUAAGAGAUAUAAUGGCUGUAUUGGUAUCCAUAAUAAUUAAAUUUGAAUUUUGAAGACUCAUAUGAGUCCCACACAA